UUGAACGCUGGCGGCAUGCUUUACACAUGCAAGUCGAACGGUAACAGGUUAAGCUGACGAGUGGCGAACGGGUGAGUAAUGCAUCGGAACGUGCCCGAUCGUGGGGGAUAACGCAGCGAAAGCUGCGCUAAUACCGCAUACGAUCUGAGGAUGAAAGCGGGGGACCGUAAGGCCUUGCGCGAUCGGAGCGGCCGAUGUCAGAUUAGGUAGUUGGUGGGGUAAAGGCUCACCAAGCCGACGAUCUGUAGCUGGUCUGAGAGGACGACCAGCCACACUGGGACUGAGACACGGCCCAGACUCCUACGGGAGGCAGCAGUGGGGAAUUUUGGACAAUGGGCGAAAGCCUGAUCCAGCAAUGCCGCGUGCAGGAAGAAGGCCUUCGGGUUGUAAAGCUCUUUCGGCAGGAACGAAACGGUAAGGGCUAAUAUCCUUUGCUAAUGACGGUACCUGAAGAAGAAGCACCGGCUAACUACGU
rnacentral:rRNA from 1 species